CAUUCUCAACUAUACAAGUUUUUACAACAUGUAUGGCUUGGAUCUUGGGAUUUGCGGGCUUUCACAAGUCGGCUAUCCUUAAAUGUAUUAGCAGAGCUUUUGCCGCUAACCUCUGGUGUGAUAAUUAUCUACGCCGUUGAGUUUCGACAUACUGAGGCUUAGCUUCUAAUUGUCCGCAAGGACAACAUUUGACA
rnacentral:misc_RNA from 1 species